AUCAUUUCUGGGCCUUUUGGUUAAGAUCAAGUAUAAUGUCUGUUGUCAGUUUGAUACACCUUCAAUCUGAGGACAAUGUAUUAUCUGGGCUUUUGAAGAAGGGAGAUGGAAUACAAGCUUCCUCUGUCCAUUUCAUACAGUGGCCUAAUAUUGCAAUACCUCCAAGAAUCAAUGUAUUCCCU